rnacentral:rRNA from 1 species
AUGGAGAUGCAGCUCGCGGCCGUGCUCGCCACGCUCGCCCUCGGCGGCGCGCUCGUCGUGCUCUUCUUCGGCAAGUGGUGGCAGCCGCUGGCUGACGGCGACAAGCGCGUCAAGGAGCUCGACGACGCCGUCGAGGCCCUGCUGCAGCUGCGGGCCGACGUGCUCAAGCAGCUGGACGGCGCGCCGGAGCCGGAGCAGCCGCGCGCGUGGAUGCGGCGCGUGCAGGACGCGCAGGACGAGGUGGCGUCCGUCAAGGCGCGGCACGACGCGGGGCAGCUCUACGUCGUCCGCCUCCUGCAGUACUUCCUCACCACGGGCCCCGUCGCCGGGCUGGCCGAGAAGCAGCUCAAGAUCGUGCGCGCCAUCCAGGAGCAGGGCGUGGCGCUGCUCGAGGCCGCGCUGGCCGCGCCGCAGGUGCCGCCGCCGCUCCUCCUCCAGCCCGAGGAGCUGGAGCUCCCGCCCGAGACGGGGUCCGCCAGGCCCUACCUCAACGAGGCGCUCGGCUUCCUCGGCGACUGCGACGCCGCGCUCGGCGUCUGGGGCGCCGGCGGCGUGGGCAAGACGACGGUGCUGAAGCGGGUGCGCGACGUGUGCGGCCGCGUGGCGCCAUUCUUCGACCACGUCCUCCUCCUGGCGGCCUCCAGGGACUGCACGGUGGCGAAACUCCAGAAGGAGGUCGUGGCCGUGCUCGGCCUCCGCGACGCGCCGACCGAGCAGGCGCAGGCCGCCGGGAUCCUGAGCUUCCUCAGGGACAAGAGCUUCCUGCUCCUGCUGGACGGCGUGUGGGAGCGCCUGGACCUGGAGAGGGUGGGCAUCCCGCAGCCCUUGGGGGUGGUGGCCGGUCGGGUGAGGAAGGUGGUCGUGGCGUCCAGGAGCGAGGCGGUGUGCGCGGACAUGGGCUGCCGCAAGAAGAUCAAGAUGGAGUGCAUGAGCGAAGACGAUGCGUGGAGCCUGUUUGAAGCGAACGCCGGCGAGGAGGCCAUCCGCGGCGACGCCCAAAUUUCCACACUUGCAAGACAGGUGGCUGCAGAAUGCAAUGGCCUGCCUCUCUUCCUCGCCACCGUCGGCCGUGCCAUGUCCAACAAACGUACAGCAGAGGAGUGGGGCGAUGCAUUCGACAAGCUCAAGAAGCCGCAGCUCACGAGCACUGCGCCCGGCCAGGACAAGGGUGCGCACGCUCUCGUGAAGUUCUGCUUCGACAGCCUUGAGAGCGACACGGUGAGGGAGUGCCUCCUGACCUGCGCGCUCUGGCCGGAGGACCACAACAUCUCCAAGGACGAGCUCGUGCAGUGCUGGAUCGGCCUCGGCCUCCUCCCCAAGUACGACGACGUCGACGAGUCGCUCCGGUUCGGGCACACGGUGGUCGCCAUCCUGGAGUCGGCGCGCCUCCUGGAGCAGGGCGACAACCACCGGCACAACAUGUGCCCGUCCGACACGCACGUCCGGCUCCACGACGUCGUCCGCGACGCUGCGCUCCAGCUCGCGCCCGGCAAGUGGCUGGUCCGCGCGGGCGUCGGGCUCCGGGAGCCGCCCCGCGACGAGGCGCUGUGGCGCGACGUGGAGCUCGUGUCGCUGAUGCACAACGCCAUCGAGGAGGCCCCCGCCAAGGCCGGCGGCGCGCUCUCGGACGCGCAGCCGGCGUCGCUGAUGCUGCAGUGCAACCGCGCCCUGCCGCGGAGGAUGCUGCAGGCGAUCCAGCACUUCACCAGGCUGACGUACCUGGACCUGGAGGACACCGGCAUACUGGACGCGUUCCCGAUGGAGGUCUGCUGCCUUGUCAACCUGGAGUUCCUCAACCUGUCCAGGAACAGGAUCCUGUCGCUGCCCAUGGAGCUGGGCAACCUGAGCCAGCUCAAGUACCUCCACCUGCGCGACAACUACUACAUCCAGAUCACGGUGCCUCCGGGCCUGAUCUCGCGGCUCGCCAAGCUGCAGGUGCUGGACCUGUUCACCGCGAGCAUCGUCUCCGUCGCGGACGACUACGUCGCGCCGGUCAUCGACGACCUCGAGAGCAGCGGCGCGCGCAUGCCGUGGCUCGGCAUCUGGAUGGACAACACCCGCGACGCGCGGAGGUUGGCGCGCCUGGCGCCGGGCGUGCGCGCCCGGUCGAUCCACCUGCGCAAGCUGGACGGGGCGCGGACCCUGGAGCUGCUGUCGGCGCAGCACGCGGCGGAGCUCGGGGGCGUGCAGGAGGGCCUGCGGGAGCUGGCGGUGUACUCGUCCGACAUCGAGGAGAUCGUGGCGGACGCGCACGCGCCGAGGCUGGAGGUGGUCAAGUUCGGGUUCCUCGCGAGGCUCCGCGUCAUGGAGUGGUCCCACGGCGCGGCGUCCAACCUCCGGGAGGUGGCCAUCGGCGCGUGCCACGCGCUGACGCACAUGACCUGGGUGCAGCACCUCCCUUGCCUCGAGUCGCUCAACCUCAGCGGCUGCAACGGCAUGACGAGGCUGGUCGGCGGCGUCGCGGAGGGGGGCAGCGAGGCGGAGGAGGUGGUGACGUUCCCGCGGCUGAGGCUGCUGGCGCUGCUGGGGCUGCCGAGGCUGGAGGACAUCCGCGGCGGCGGCGGGGAGUGCGCGUUCCCGGAGCUGCGGAGGCUGCAGACCAGGGGGUGCUCGCGGCUGAGGCGCAUACCCAUGCGGCCGGUGGCCGGCGGGCAGGGCAGGGUGAGGGUGGAGGGCGACAAGCACUGGUGGAACGGGCUGCAGUGGGCGAGCGACGACGUCAAGGCCUGCUUCGUUCCGGUGCUGCUCUGA